UUGGACAUCUUGAAGUAUUGCACAAUCCCCGUCUUUGCUGAAAGUGUCUGAAAAGUUUAAAAUCCCAGAAGUUUUCUCUGAUCUCCUGAGCUCCAUCUCUAUUCUUUUGAGAUGCUUUUGAAUCUCAAUGUCCAUGUCUUUCAAGUUAUACAGACGAAUCACUUUCUCUAAAACCAUAUAGUGCCUUGGAGGUAUGAUUAAAACAGGGGAUGUCUGAGGUUUUUAAGAACAGUCUCUGAUGGAGGAAACACUGUGUUAAGGUACAAUAAAACAGGAGCUGUGAGUUCAGUCUCCAAACACCCUUUUCCUUGAUGACAUCAGGGAUUGCAGUCUGAACAGCCUCUUCAGCAAUAGGCACCACAGGAUCAGCAGUCUGAACAGUGUCCACAGGGACAGCCCCCACCUCGGAAGUGGCAGCACUAGCAGCAGCAGCCUGGUCACGAGAUGAAGCAGCGACCUCCGCCCAAGUUCUGGACCUGUCAAGGCAGUUUUUAAACACAUGUCCUUGUUGCCCGCAGAGAUUACACACCACCUCCCCCGUGCAACCUCCCAAGGCAUGUCCAGCUUUGCCACAGCGACCACAGAAUUGCACAGGUGGAGAAGUGCAAGAGUCCUGUCUGUGGCCAAAGCUUCUGCACUUUCUGCAAAAUUCCGGCAUAUUAUAUCAUUAUAAAACAGAUAUCCUCUGUCACGGCCGAUGGUAAAGCUGGAGGGGGGGUGUAGCAUACCCUUCACGCCGUCAGGAUUCAUUUUAAACUUCACCCGGAACUUGUAUUUUCCCGUCCAAAGAUCUUCAGAGUUGUAGAUCUUUCUCCUCCAUUCACCUCCGAGCAAUAUAUUUGGUGGAAGCGCUUGAUGUCAGACAGGCUCACAUAAGGAUUGUACAUGAACACAACCAGGUUAGUCUCACCAGCAGUAUACAGCACUGUGAAGUUGAGUCCUUCCAAUUCAGGUGUGUUCAGCUUGGACCUUAGUUGAUGAUGCAGAUUCUGACAAGCGCUUUGUGAUUCCAACACCAGGAAGAAGGAAGAUCUCCCCUGCUGCUGCAGGCAAAGAAUAUCUUGCUUCUUCACAAGAAGGGUCUUUAAAAAGAUUUCUUUAACCAGAUGACUCAGGGAGAUCUUUUUCAAAGCGGCUUCCUCAAUAUCCACACUGAAUCCAUUCUUCACUAGUGUUGAGCGGCAUAGGCCAUAUUUGAAUUCGCGAAUAUUCGCGAAUAUAUGGACGAAUAUUCGUGAUAUAUUCGCGAAUAUUCGCGUUUUAUUUUCGCAUAUGCAAAUAUUUGUAUGCGCGAAAAAUUAACAUAUACGGAAAUUUACAUAUACAAAAAUUUGCAUAUGCGAAAAUUAGCAUAUGCAAAUAUUCGCAUAUGCGAAAAUUCGCACGCAGUAGUAUUAGAGCCUUCUUUACACCACACAAGCUGGAAGCAGAGAGGGAUGAUCACUGUUAUGUGAACUGUGGAAAAAAAAUUUAUAAAAAAAAAAAAUAUUCGUAAUUACGAAUAUAUAGUGCUAUAUUCGCGAAUUCGCGAAU